GGGAAGCAGCCCAAGAUUGAAAGCUGGCGUCUUCGGCGUCCGCAUUGUAAUCUCAAGAAGUGUUUUCCGCUUCGGACCAUGCCUAAGUCCCUUGGAAAAGGGCAUCAUAGAGGGUGAUAAUCCCGUACAUGGCAUGGAGCGCCCGUAGCUUUGUGAUACACUUUCUAAGAGUCGAGUUGUUUGGGAAUGCAGCUCAAAAUGGGUGGUAAAUGCCAUCUAAGGCUAAAUAUUGGGGAGAGACCGAUAGCGAACAAGUACAGUGAUGGAAAGAUGAAAAGAACUUUGAAAAGAGAGUUAAACAGUACGUGAAAUUGCCAAAAGGGAAGGGUAGGAGGUCAGAGAUGCGGCCUGGGAUUCAGCCUUGCUUUUGCUUGGUGUUUUUCCCAGAUUGCAGGCCAACGUCGGUUUUGGGCACUGGAGAAGGGUAGGAGGAACGUGGCACCUCUCGGGGUGUGUUAUAGCCUCCUACUGGAUACAGCGACCGAGACCGAGGACAGCAGCGUACUCGCAAGAGCGGGCCUUCGGGCACCUUUACGCUUAGGGCGUUGGCAUAAUGGCCCUCUACCACCCGUCUUGAACCACGGGA
rnacentral:rRNA from 1 species